CGGCCGCCCGGCGCCCCGCGCUGCUCCCCCCUCCCCCCCCCCGCCCCCCGGCCCUCCCGGCGCGCCCGGCCGCAGGCGCGGAGCAAGGCAACCGGGGGAGCGAAAAGGGCGAUAAAACACUGCCAAACGAGUGUCACGUGACCCCGGUAAUUUAUAGGAUUUGGCUGAGAAGGGAGAAUCUGAUGAUUUAGGGACACUGGACCUGAAAUGUUAUCAACGGAUCUUUACACCUCCAAUGACUCCACAAAUCGAUGUGAGCUGGGCACACGCCUGAAUACAAUGAAACACAGGCAGCAAAAUGCUGGUUUGAGAAGACUGCGAGCCCGUCGCCUGCGUGCUGACAUAAUUAGUUUAGGUGCGGAGAUCGCAGAUCCGAGGGAGAAGGAAAAGAUUGGUUUCGCCAGAAAACGCUUCCCUGACGCAGCCCACGAACAGCCGCCACCCAAGGCAGAAAUACUGUACUGGUAACUGAAGAUAUCUUCCACAUGUGUACAACAUCAGAGAUAGCAACAUCAAUGAUAAAAGGACCUUCUUUAGGUGCGGUGCAUAGUAGCAAGGCAACGUAACUGUUUAUGUAUUCAGAUCUCCACAGCAGUAUGUUCUUCCGAAACUGCAAAUCACUUCAAAUGACGGAACAUGGCCUGGCAAGAACUGGGAACCGGAGGAAGAGAAGAAUGCGGUAUUUACUUAAAAUCAAAACAAAACCUGAAACAAAGACCCCAGUUCUUGCUUCUAGGUUUAACCUGUAAUAUGUCAUUCAAUAUGCCGUCUUGAUAAAAAUCAGCUAUAGGAAUGGGAUAGCUAUCAGCUGUCACAAUUUUUGUCAACAAGAAACCAAAAAAAUCAAUGAUCCCCUUAUUCUCCUUUGUUACCUGUUUUGUUCAGUUCAGCCAGGUUAGUGGCUAUCUAGGGAAUGUCAGUAAUGAUAAUUCUGACAAACUCUGCCUCAUGUUUUUGGCUGAUGAGAAGGCGUUUGAUAAGGAACUGCCGGGUAAAGGGGAGAAAGCUGAGAAGUAAACAGAUGUCCGAAGGCUGCCUAGAGGACUGAGGUGUGCGAGUGCUGGUUCCUCUUGGCACAGCUGGAACACCCUGCCCGACUCUGUGGGCUCGCCUCGCAUUGCCUGGUGGCACAGCUUGCAGGGUAUGGAGGGGAGGCUAUCCCCUGCCCGGAGAAGAUCUUCAGUGCCCUGGGAAAGCAGCUUUACUCGGGGCAGAGAAAUGGGGAAACAGAACGAUUUCUAGAGUGAUGAGAGCCCGCCUGUGGAAGUACUCCAGGGCCCUCUUAAUACUUUCAAAGUGAGCAGGAUGGCUACAGCUUCUGCGUGCUCUGAUUUUUAGGCAGCACGUCAGCUGGGGGUGGGUGGCUGCUGAAGGACACUUGCGAGGUUCAGCUGUCUAUACCAGCUAAGUGCGGUUUACCUGGUAUAAUGUUGUCAGUGAGCUGGCUGUGCUGUUCUGGCUUUAAUUAAAGGAAAUUCCUCCAUUUGGUUAUUUUCAGAAGUUUGAAAUACAGAAGUCAGACUAGAUGCGAUCUCUGACCAAGCGAGGGUGUCUCCAGGCAGUUGAAGAACGUACUUUUGGGGAUCCGAUAUACCCUGAACUUGUGUUUGUCCCACUAGAGUUGAAGCACCUGGUACAGAGGACUGCAGAAUUCCAAACUGAUACUAACCUGUGAUCUAGUGCCUCUUUGAUCAUCAAUUUUUAAGACUUGAAGCCCGUUGCUUUUUUCUCUUCACUCCCUUCUUCUGACUUAAAAAUUUGCGGGAGGCCACUUAAUAAUUUGCGGGAGGUGACUUAAUUGCUUUCUCCCUUCUUCUGACUUAAAAAUUUGCGGGAGGCCACUUAAUAAUUUGCGGGAGGUGACUUAAUUGCUUUGCAACAUGAAAGCUUGUCACUUGUAGCACUCAGCUCUUCCUAUUUCCCCUAUACUGGUGACUUGCUACUGUAGUUGCACUGGUUUCUGCGAUGUUAGACCUGCUUAUAGUUGUGUAACAGAGCAAAUGGGAUCCACAGAUUUUUAGAGCCUUUAAGUGAUCACAUAAUACCCACAGACGCAGUAAUGACUUGAGUGGUCUCCUCUCCACUUUCCCCAGUCAAGUUCAAAAAUGCCAGCUUUAAGAGCCCAAAAAUCAAACAGAAAAAAAGCCAUGUGAAGCACUCUGGUACUCUUGUUUUGGUUUUGCUUUUGUUAUCUCAAAGAAAAGGCAUUGAGGUCUCUUAAAUGCAUAUAUCAGGUGCUGGCAGCACUGAAUCUUUCUUUGUGUAUCCUGCUUAAGAGAAGAAUGACAGCUGAUGGAUAAAUCUUUCUAAAGAGGUCUGAAACAGCCAUAUUUACUGAACUGGAUCUUUUGAAGACUUUUUUUGAAGGCUACAUUUUGCUUACCGAUUUGUAUGAAAUUGAACUAUGAAUCACUUCUGUUAUGUCCUUUUUUUGUCUCCUUCCCAGUAAUUUUCUAUUUCUUCUUUGCAUUUUAGUAGCAUGGAAUAGGGAUCUCAAGCUUUUUGGAUAGAAGGCUGUAUGUUUAAGAACCCAAACUUCAGAGGACUUGCCAAAUCUUGCAUCAAAUAUGAAACUCGCAGAAAAAGCAUUAAAAAUAUUUAAACUAAGCAAUUAAUUUCUUACCAUCUGGAAAACCACAAACAGUGACAAAAGCAACUCGAAAACUCAUAUGCCAUUAAUAGGCUGACUGCUUCAAUACAGAAUAUUAUGCUGCUGAUAGCAACAGAUAAACGUAUAACCAGUCAUGACUGGCCUUUCAAACAUAUCAAAAUAGACAAUCCUGUAUAUAAUGGGGAAUCUCUGUAUUAUGACUGAUGUCCAAGACUUACGAUGUUAUAAACUAUUGGUUAUGUUGUUUUGACAAUGGAAGAAUUAACGAACGAGACAGAUUUGUCUGCAGUGAUGAACUAUAUCAUAAAGAAACAUUAAUAAAGAUAAAACAUUUGGAAAUUCUUUAUGAAAAAUAACAUUUUUGCUCUUUUCACAAGGAACAAAAGAAGCCAGAAACAUGACAGAUUUCAUCAAAAGAGCUGUUCACAGAUUAAAAGUAGGUCUGAUUUUUGUUUUGCUGUGCUAGACUUCACUUCUCAAACCACAGAAGAGUGAGAACACAUAUGGGAGGAGAGUGAGUUGCUGUCCCCCCUCUUACACAAUUGCAUUUUGGUUUGGACUCCCACUUGUGUCUUUCUGAUCCCAAGAAGGUGCUGUAACCACCUGCCUUUCCAUGGAGGUGUACUGAGAGAGGGCUCUGUGUCUUCUGUGCUUUGGGAGAAUUCUCUACAUCUAUUUAUUGGGAAAGCAUUUGUAGGCACUUACAUUUAAGGCUUUGGAUUGUAAGUGGGUGGAGACACUGCUAUGUCCUUAAUGAAGACUCCUGCUUCAGGGGAAAAAAAGAAUUUGCACACAGUUCUCCCCAGUUUGUUCCUGCUGCAGUAGGUGUGUUGACCUGGAGGUGGCUGUUCAGUCUGGAGAUGGCUUCAAAUGCACCUUCUGAGGUGGAGAGCUUCUUCAGUGAACGACAUGGGGAGCUGAGGCCCCUGAAUAAGGAUUCCAAAUUUCUUUCCUCAACACAGUUAAGCUGCACAACACAUCAUAGCAGCACCUGCUUGGUGCUUGUGUGAGCUCAACAGUGUUUCAUACUGUGGACUUACUUAGCUUUGCAGAGUUGGUAAAACCUGCUUUAUGUUCCAGUAUGCACCACUGACUAAAGGUCUUUCUGUUGGGGACCACUCCAAAUGUUCUGCUAACAGUAAACAUCCCACUGGGUUUCUGCCUUACUAUCUACUACAUCUCCUGCUAAAUAGUAGUCUGUAUUAAAAAAAAAAGUCAGCGUUAUAUGUGAACGAAUCAGCUAUACAACUGAGUUGCUUCUCCUUGAUUGACAACAUCCAUGUAACUGUCUAUGCUCUUAGAUAAAAAUAAAUAAAAAAUACAGCUGCAUUUCAUUUCAAAUUGAAGUCUUUUAUAAAGCUGGAUAGGGAUUUUCAAGAGCAUUUGGCAAUUGGCUUAACUUAGAUUCCUGUGAAAUAAUUGGUAAGUGAUGUCUAGAGGCAAUGAGUUAAGCUAUUGCUGACUGCACUAGAAAAAUCCCACUCACGAUUUCUCAAUUCAUUUCUUGGAAGAUAUGACAACAAGGUAUCUCUUGUAGGUUGUAGUAUAUAGAUUGUCACGCAGUGCUUAGAAACUGUUCUAAGAGCUAUGUAUAAGGCUUUUUAGAGCUGAGAUAAGCCUAAAACUUUUAAGUUGCUAAUUUCAGCUGCUAACAGUACUCAAUUUUAUGGGGCAAUAGAAAAUAGAAAUGUGUGUGCUGACUUAUUUGAAAAGUCCUCUUCAGAUUCUGUAUAUAGAAACCUCACUUUGCCUUGCCUCGGAGAAAAUUUAGUCUGAGUACACAAGAACAAAAGUACACUGCAAAUGUUUUGGUUUGUGCAGCAUAAGAUUGCCUUUGAAUGUUAUGUGGGAAACAAAACCAACCAAACAAAAAACCCCAACCCCAAAUCCAAACAAAUGUUAAAUCAAAAAAGUAAAACACAGAAGUAUAGAAGCACAGCUAUGCAUGGGAAUUAGAAGCUGAGGUACCAUCCGUUAUGUCAUACUCUAGUGCAGUCUUUGGCAAUAAACUUAAUUUUCCUGCCUCAGCUUAUCCGUGUCAGAGGUGCAGUGGGAAAACUAAAAUCUUACAAGUAUUGUUAGAUUAGUUGUCUCAGAAGAAUAGUUCACCAACCCUUACACAAUACUAGCAGAACAAAUGUUGAUGUUCACUGGGACUUCUCAGCAUGAGAUUUGUAUAUCUGGAAGAAUCCAAGUCUGUUCUGAAGUCAGAGGCAGGUAUCUAAUCUGAGUUUUUAGUUACUGCUAUAGCAGGACUAUUUUUAGACUCGUACGGGACUGCUUUUGUUUGCUGUGAUCCCUUCCUGCCUUGUUACCGUAGUCUGUCUGCUCCAGUAAACUUCAAAGUUAAAUACCUUCCCAAGUGUAUAACAUACUAAGAUGCGUACCUGGAGCACCUCGCUAUUAUUAAUUCUGCUACUUACAAUUCUGGCAGGUGAGCUGUCCAAGGCAGGUAUCUUCUCAAAGUUUCUAGCUUUCUACACAUCUUCAUGAUGGAAGUUGUUUUCUCUUAGACUACUCUGCAGGACUAAAUUGUCCUCGAGUCUCAGAUGAGGUAACUAGAUACUUCGUUUCACACAGAAUGGUUUUGUACUUCAAGCUGUAUAACUUCUGAUGAAAGUUUUUAGAAGAUUGUUCCAGAUGAAAUUGCUGUUAGGGCCAAAGCCUCUCUCCCUGCACUGACAACAGAGGUAGCUGAAGUAGGGCAUCAUACAGGAGUUGUGGAACAUGCCAGCGACGUGUUCCUGAUGGUACAGCCAGGAAAGCUUUCUGCAUCCACACAGCUUCAGUUGCAUUCCUUAAGACUUAAGCUUUACUUCUCCGAGUAAAAGAGUUGAGCGUAAAUUCACCAUAUAAAUCCCAGCUCUCUCUCCCUUAUUAAUCUGGAAACUGAGGAGAGCAUUAUCUAUGGUGGUUUUUUUUGUUUGUUUGUUUGUUUGUUUGUUUGUUUUUCCUUAUUAGCAUGCUUGCUGGGCUUUUUGUCUUUCCACCUGAUCAGCCAGAGAUACACCAGAUCCUUUAAAGAGAUACCUCAUCUUGCAGUUCAGAGGUUUCUGAAUUCAUUCUGCCUGAGCUAUUUCUGUAACAAAUCUGCUAAUUUCACAUGUAGAAAAGUCCUGUCUAAUAGAGUGUUCACUACAGGUUCUGAUAGUCCAGUUCUCGUUUUCCCAUUUUACACAUGCUAGAAGGAGAAGUCCUCCUGGCCACCUUUGGUAUUAACCGCAUCUUUGUAACUCCAUUAUAUUCAGACCGUGCAAUCAAUGACAGUCCUUUGAAUCUGGAGGUAUCAUGUGAACAGACUUUAUGGUGAAAUUACUAGGCUUCUGUGUCUGCCUUGGCCUCCUAGUGUUCCUGGCAAUUUUUUUUUCUUUCUUGAAGUACUUUAAUUUUUUUCCUUCUUUCUUGCCUUUGCUAUAAUUGGGAAAUUAAGAGCAUUCACCGCCCAAAUACCCAAACAAAUAACAGCCAAGCAAAAAAAAUCCAAACCCCCAACCAAGCACACUUAUAAUCCCUCAGUGGCACAGCUGACAUUUAAGGCACAAGGGAAGUAAAGCAUCAUUGUAUUGCUAUUUCAUUAUAGCACUAUUCAUCGGUAGGUUCAAAUGUUUGUCUUAACCUCCAUCUUGGCAAGUCUAAGUGGUUAGUUCAUUGUAAGGAAGAGUGAAAUAUGGAGACGGGUUGAUAAAGUGCGUUACAAGACAGUUGCAUUUCCCUUCAUUCCUUGGUUCAGACCAGCCAUACUUCAGCCCAUGGAGAUGCAUCUUGUUUAGCUUUCAUAUGUUUAGAAAUAUGGAAGAAUGGCUGGUCUGUGUCUUGCAUGCAGCCCAGCAUCAGCACUCAUUCACUUAUUUGAAAAUUGUUCAGCAUUUUUGUGAUCUGAUGAGAUUUAUGUUUUGAGCUGGUUCAGUGGCUCAAGACACAUCUUUUAAAACAUGAACAAAAUGAUGUUACAAUAGGCUGUAUAUCAGCCAGUGAACAAUUCUGGAACAAAUCAGUUACAUCUCUGAAAGCUGUGGUGGUUUUUUUUUUCUUUUUUUUUGACUGAACUCAGAUAGUACUUUAUGGUCCCUUUUCACUAAAUGAACAAUGGCACACAGAGGUAGUUUUAUCAUCUCAAAGGUACCUCUUAUUUCAUGACAAACCUGUGUACCUUCAGGGUGCUCAUCUGCCGUACAGCACACUUUGUGCCACUCAGAUACAUAUAAAACUUGCCAAUAUUCUUGCGGUAUCUGUAUCACGGUGUUUUUGGCAGAGGUUAUAUACAAAGAAGAGAAAUGUAUCAUCAGCUCUGUUUUCCUUCUCCAAGCAUUGACUUUUAUAUUGCAUCACCUGAGCUUUAAUAAUUGUAAAUCGGCAAAUGCAUAAAUGUUUUUUAAGUCGCUGGAGGAGUGCUGAUUUACAGCACGGGAGAAGACCUGGCUCCACAACUUGAGCAGACAAACUGAAUCGAGGGUGUUUCUGACGAAGGUAUUAUUCCAGUCAUGUGGGUGAAUGGAACUUUCCAAAGUGAGAACAAUGCAGAAAGAUUAAACAAACUAGACAAUGAAACAAUUAUUUUAAAAUAUCUUCAUUUUUAGCACAUUGGCAAGUGGACCGACUGCAUCUAGCUAAGUACACGAUUCUCACAAGCUGCCUCUCAAUCUGGACCCAUGGAGCUGAAAGAGAGCACCGCAGCGAGGAGGGGAGAGACAGUGAGAAAUCAGAGUAAAACUGCAGACGAUGGGAACAUGUUGUAAAACUGCCUUCAGACCCUAAGCCAGUGUGGUGAACUCCUUGUUCUGCUAAGACUAAAAACACAUGGAAAGGGAAUAGAGGAGAUUUAACAAAUUGAAUCAGAUGAGAGAAAACAGUCAAAACUGCAUAAAGGAAAGAAUAAUGGAAAACCUCGUUAGUGAAAUUGGAAACAAACAAAAAAAGCAAGUAUCCUAGAUACAACUAGCAGAGAAGUUGCUUUCGAUUUAAAAGAUGCCUUUUACUGAAUGCAAUGUAGCAGAAGAAACCUUGUUCCUCUCUCUGGGUAUGAGGACACCUGCGUACUGACCCAGCAAGGUGGGGGCUUCUUGAGAGGGUCUUGCAAGGCAGGACUGGGCAAAGCACAGCUGCCAUCUAAGUCCCCGGUGACAGUGAGGUUUCCAUCUGUUGUCCUUCAGGAGGCUGCAGGUUGUCUCUCUUCAGAAGCGGCCACUAAGCUACAAGAACAACUUUGGCCAGGCUUGGCAGAUGAGAGAGGGAGGCUUUUGUUUCUCUUCACAAAGCAAUUGGAGCUUUGGACUAGGUAUGCAAUUCUGAAAGAAGAAACAGACAGAAAUAAACAGUGUAGUAGGGAAGAAUGUAGAAAAGGGAACAAGAAGCAUAGUAUAGCAAUUUUUUUUUUUAGGAAAAUAGAAUUAGAACCAAAGUGUUAUUAACACAUGAAAAAAAAUUUUGAGAAAAAAAGCCUACAGGGCGAGUGCAAAGCAGUUUCCUAGUGAAAGAGCACUGGGAAAUGUAAAGCAAUCCUGAACUCAUUGUUUAAGCACGAGAACUCAUUUUUCUACUUGGUACUCACUGUACUGGCACUUGUGGCACAGCACGUGCAGCUGCAAAAUGGACAUUGUGUCAUUAUUAGUAAAAGUCACUUUGACUUUUAAAAAGGAUGUCCUAGAAAGUAGGGAUGAGACCUUAUCACCUUCCCUACUUUGGAAAACCUAGCUUGUUAAUGUGACAAGACCUCAGCAGAAGACCACUAAGGCUGAAUAAAAUAUAGUCCCGAUGCAAGAAAAAACAGGGUAAAUGCUCAGCCAUCAGCGUGAUACUGCUGAACACAGAUGCCAGCAGAUCACUCUCUGAUCUAACCUAGCGAUGCAGUGAUGUAAGGUAGGAUAAGAAAGAAACCAGCAGUAGACUCACAGCCCCUAGCACAUCUGGGGCAGAGAUGAGGAAGUACGAGAAAAAUCCAACCGAGUCUGCUCUCUGAGCCUUCAUGACACAGCUCUUACAAACUGACCACUUUGUAUACAUAAGUUCUUGUGCCUGAGUGUCUGAAGAACGAAGGAAAAGGGUGUGCAGCUUGUAAAAUGGAAAUGGGGAGACUGCAAAUUACACACUGAAGGCUAGCUAUAACAUGUGAUAACAUAUUUUCCCUCUAAAUAGACUCUUCAAUGGUACUUUUCCAGGUAACAGGUAUCUCAUCUGGGACAUAAUUAAAACUCCCCAUUGUUGCUCAAAUGUUAGGUACUUAAUUUUCUUCUUUGUCCCUUGUUAGUAUUAGCUUUGAGUAAGUUAUCUCCGGUCAAGAAGCAUAAAACAGUUAUGCAUAGCAUUAAUGGACAGGAUUGUUUCAAGCUAAGUACAGCAUGGAUUAGAUAAAUGGGAGGCAAAGGUAAAUCUAUGACACUUAUUAUCUCGCAUUCCUAUGACACAUCUGCUUGUCAUGCCAGAAAAUGUUGCUGAAUUUCCAGGGGCUGUGGGUUGCUGGAGCACAAACAACUCAUACAACUCUUUCCCUCUUUGGUUGCCUACAGCAAACCUUACAGAAAGCUUGGGGUGAAAUGAAAGCGCAGGAACACUUGUGUCGACUGGAGCCUCCAACUUUUUGGCAAGUCAGUAUGAGCCCAUCAGUAUAGCUGAGUAAUUGGGCUAGUGGUAAUAGAAUUGUUAAGAUAAUCAAGCCAACUGUGAGAAUUGAGAGUUUGGACCUUCACGGCAAAUGUGCACCUAAGCAAAAGAACUUGUUGCUGCUGCAUGCUCCAUUUAGCAGACUCUUUCUUACUCCGUAUUUUGUUUAAGUAAAUGUUUAUUUCACAAACUGAGCUGUAAGCCACAUGUCUCUGACUAUGAAGACUAGCGUUAGGAGUUUUAUGAGCAUAUCCUGUGAUGGAUAUAUCCCAUAAGUGUUAUUAUUUUAUUGGUGACAGCUAACCAUCAAACUCAUCCAUGUAACAGACUUGAAACAUUGAACAUUUUAACUUACUGACUUCAGUCAGAUUACACAGGUACAAAACUCUGUGAGUCACACCAAGUAUUUAAGUAUUUCCAAAGGGUGAGAUUAGAAUUCAAACUAAACUUAACGGAUCACAGAAGUAGUUUUAUACCAGCAAGUUAAAACUCUAAAAAUGCACUAGCAAGUAGCAUGUGCAAGAAGGAAAAGAAUAAUAGGAUGAAAAAAUGAUGAAUUUGGGCUGAAUCUGGAUGUGGGCAUUAUAAAGGGCCCCAGCCUAAAUAGAAGCCACCAACUUGUCAUUCAGGGAAUGUAUUUGCAGGGAUCUUGUACGUAAGAUACUGUGUUUCUGCAACUAGAACAAAGUAACAAAGACAAACUGGAAGAGACAAGUGUAAAGUAACAAAUAUGAUCAUAAAGUUCAAAACUUCCUACAAAAAAUGUUGGAAGAGUUCAUGGUGUUUAGUUAAAGUCAGAAAAAGAAGGCAGCCACUAGAUUUAUUCUCCAUAGUCAUUUAUAAUUGGAUGAGAUGUAACAGGCUUAUUACAGCAAAAAAAGAUUUAGGUAAGACAUUGGAAAAUCCUUCUAACUAAAUAAAGAUGGGUAGUGGAAUGGACUCCCAUAAUCUAAGCAUGUCCAUCAUUGGAGUUUUUUAAGAAUAGAUUAGACAGACAUCUAAGCUGAUCUGUAUAGACAGUCUUGCCUCAGAGGAAGGAUGAAACUGUAUGUCUUGAGACCCAACUGUGCCUACGCUUUUUUUCAUGAUAUGUAGCCAGACUAUUUUUUGUAAAUGUAUUUCAUCAUUUGUAUGUAAUGCAAUGCCAAACACAUUAAAAUGAGGCUGCUUAAAGUGUGUAUGGAAACAAACUGAUCAAACUAAUUUUUAUGUGUUUCCACUCAUUAUGGAGCUAUCAUGCUGAGGCAGAAUACAAAAUGGAGCGUGGCAUGAAUGCUCAUUACGGAAAUCCCCUCGCAAAAAAAGAAAAAUAAAAAAAAAAUUCAGUGUAUGCAUUUGUAAUGGAAAGCAUUUUCUGGUAAUAAAGCUUGCAUUUCCACAGUACUCUUCUACUGGGAGUUUCAAAGUGUUUUCAGAAAUGUUCUUAGCACCCCUGAAGUACUUUGUGAGGCGAGACCGCAUCUGUGCAGCUUCACGUUGGGGAAAAAGGCCCCAAAAUGUCCAGUUCAAGUUCUAAAACCCACCAGCUCUCAGCAGGGCUGGCUCUGGCCUCCUCCAGGUGCAGCUCAUCCCCUCUUCUGUGUCACACUCUCUCAGCAUCACCAUCGCUUGUCAACUUGCAGAAAUGUCUCUGUGCUUUCAUCAACCCUUGAACGUGGGAUACCAUCCUACACAACAGGGAAAAGUGUUGAGUUACUGCCCCUUCCUGAAGACCUCUACCAACACACCUAUAAAGAGCAAACAAGUAGCAGGGACUUCGGUAGGAGAAAGGGUAGCUGGUAUUUAUUAAUAGCAAAAAUAAUUAUAUGUGUAUAGUAUAUAUAUUUAUAUAUAAAUGUACAUGUAUUUACAUAAAUAAAACUACAAAAAGAAAACAAUUGUAUUCCUUUGAUCUAGUCUUCUAUGUCACCUCUCCUUAGGAGAGAGACCCAGGGAGACUUUGUAUGUGUUUGUACAGCACGUUGGUCCAAAGAGGCAUCGAUCUUGGCAAAAAUCUCUCAUUGAUAGUAUUAAAUGAAUAAUAUAUCGCACGUUUGUGUCUUAAUGCUACAGUCAUACACUCUGGAAACCUUAAUUUGCAUAAAGUUUGUAACCUUGAAUUGGUGCUUGUUUAGGUAUUUUCAAAAAUAAUUAUUUAAUAUUAUUGUUGUUUGACCA